CAAUUUUAUCACUUAAAUAUUUUAGGAAGAACAUUUUUUUCUAAGUCCUCAUUUUGCGCUUAACUUUGAAUGCUAUUUUAGCUGGAUGUGAAAUGAUGACAGCUAAUUUCCCUCAUCAUUUUGAAGCUAUUAUUACAAUGUUACUAGGUCUAUAUUACCACUGCUGCAAAACCCACCGUCUGUCUUACUACUAGUAUUGUGGAUAAUCUGUCUUUUCUUUUUGGCUGAUUUUUAUUUUAUUUUAAUUUUAUAAAAUGUUUUCUUUGUUUCUUUGCCUACAGUUUAAGUACAUAUGUUUAGAUGUAGGCAUGUUUUUGCCUAAUCCUACUCAGGACAUGUCGCAUUUUUUUUAAUUUUAGGAAUUUUGUUUUUAACCAAUUAUGAAAAAUUCUGUUAUUAUCCUGUAAGAAUUGCUUUUCUGACAAUCUCUUCAUGUCUCUCAACCCUUCUUUCAUUCAUAUUUUCCAUCCCUUUAUCUUGUCAAAGUUCAUUCUGAUCAACAUACUCAGAUUUACUUUCUUUGUGACUGAACCUCUCUCUAGCUUUGUAUAAUUCUCUGUUUAAUUUGUCCAACAGGUUUUAAGUUUCAAUAACUGGUUUUUUUUAUUUCUACAAAUUCUAUUUGGCUAUUUUUCAAAUAUCUGUUCUUUCAUAGUAUCUUUUUUUCUGGUUUUGAUUACUCUUUAUGUCUAUAAUUAUGCUAAGCACAUUUUUAAUAGUCCUUAAUAAAUUGUUUUAUGAUUUCAAGUUCUUUGAGUUCUAAUGAUUCUAAUUGUUAGGUCCAUGGACUCUUGGUUCAUGGUAGAUUUUGUCCUCAAUUAUUAUCAUUAGUAUUAAGUUUUUAAAUUAUCAAUAAUAAUAUAUCAGCCAAAUUCUUGGCAGGAAACAGAUGGCAUAUUAAACAGAGUAAUUGUGGAGAGUUUAAUGAAAGGACUAUUUCCAAAGGUGUAGGCAGGGCUAAGGGAAACCAACAGAUAGUAAAAUGUGCAGUUGUUGCUAUCCAAAGCUUGAGUAGCACAAGGAGGAAGUGAAGAUCAGACCCGUAGUUGGAGGAUAGGGCUACCUGACAGGAGCCAUGGUCUUCAAAAGAGACAGGCUGACUGCCAACCAGUGACCCGGCAUCAAUGUGGUUGAAGAAAUUAGUAUCAUGACUUUACUAAUCUAUUGUCACAGCUGUGGCUUGGAUUCGAAACGACCCAGGAACUUCCAUAUGCUAUGGGUGUGAUCUCCCACCCCAAAAAAAGAAAACAUAAAGCUGGCCAUGAAAGGAUGUUCGGCAUCACUCAUCACAGGAAAAAUGCAAAUCAAAGCCUCAAUGAAAUAUCACCUCACAUAUGUCAUAAUGGCCAUCAUCAAAAAGUGUACAAAUAGCAAAUGUUGGCAAAGAUGUAGAGAAAAGAGUACCCUUGUAUAUUGCUUGUGGGAACGUAAAUCCACUGCAGUAAACAGUAUGGAGAUUCGUUAAAAAACUAAAAACGGAAUUACCAUAUGAUCUAGCAAUCCCACUCCUGGGUAUAUAUCUGAAGAAAAUGAAAACAUUACAUCUAAAAGAUACAUGCACUCCCAUGUUCAUAAAAGCACUAUUUAUAAUAGCCAAGACAGGGAAGCUACCUAAAUGUCCAUCAGCAGAUGAAUGGAUAGAGAAGAUGUGUUGUAUGUAUAUGUAUUUACACACAUACACACACACCCCAGAAAUGUGCUUUUGGUUGCAGUAUUAUACUAAUGGAUGAAACUUCUUCAACUCUUGCCCUGUAUUUGCAGCAUUUUAAGAACCUUGGCUUUGUGCAGGGAUCUUGGUUCCUACUAUCUGCCUUUCAUAAAUUGAAGACCUUGUGUCUAGUCCCUGCAUGGGUAGUAAAAACCCAGACCCCUAACUUACUGAGACUGAACACCUCCUUACCCACUAGCCAGUCAGAUGCUUACUACUCUGACUGUAAUUCCCAUCCUAUAGAAAGGAGGAAAUACAGUGUCAAUUUAUAUUAUUUUCAUCCAUACAAGAAAUUAAGCAUCAUUAACAUUUUAUAUAAAUACUGACACUGGCAUGUUCAUUCAAUUGUAUGUCAGAGGGUCACAAACAGUCCAUGAGACAGCCUGAAGGAAGAAGGGGACAUCGAGGUGUGGAGGGACUGACACUCUUUUAUCCAGCACUGGAACUUGGUGACAUUUCAAUUUACAUACUACGGGAUGUCAUCAAGUUUUAUUUUAUAAAAAUAAGACUUGUAAACAGUAGAUUCUUUAGAAGGCUUUGUAACAAAAUGACGUUCUAGUCCAUUGCCUUUGCUAUAGGAUUUUAUGACUAUCUUGUGGCAAAGCAUUUAAUAGUUAUUGAUCUAAAGGUGAGUUAUAUAUUUUUCUUGCCUAAAAAGGCCAGUUUCCUAGUUUUCUGGCAAAAAACAGAAAUUUUCCAUGAUGACAAGCAGCUGUCCGUAAUUGGCUAUUUAGCAGAUAAAAAUGCGCUAAUGUGUCUUUCCAAGGUACAUAUUAACAUUUUAGCAAAGCGUGCACAACAUUUUUUUGAAGAGAUAUUUUAUGGAGCGAUCAUUUUCAAAAUAAAUAUUUGCGAAAUUUUCUAGUAUUAUAUAAUUUCUUACCCAAAAUGAUGUAAGCAUAUCACUUAUAAAAAUAUUAUCAUAAAUAUAUAGAGACAAGCCUUGAAACUGAAUAUUCUCAACUGAAAACUGUCUUCAAAAUGCAAAGGCUUACUCGCUUUUAAACCCAUUAAAAUAUAUUUAAAUGAAAAAGUUUCAUAAAUUAGCAAGGACAACGGAUUUGCAUCAUGGAAGAUGGAAAUUAAUAACCAACUGUCAACAGAAGCUUUGGCAUCAAUGGUGAGGGGGAUUGAAAAAAAUGAGACUCAUGAAACAGAUGCAAGUAGGCAAUGAAGCUUUUCUUAUAAAAUUCAGUGAUAUAUUUCAGAGAGCAUAAGCUAGGGCUGUUACCCUCUGCAGUUGGCGAUCUAAGAGGCAUAUUUUCAUGGUUGCAGUAGCAGUACCCGGACAGCUGUCAGGU
rnacentral:lncRNA from 1 species